rnacentral:rRNA from 1 species
GACGAACGCUGGCGGCGUGCUUAACACAUGCGAGUCGAACGGAAAGGCCCUGCUUUUGUGGGGUGCUCGAGUGGCGAACGGGUGAGUAACACGUGAGUAACCUGCCCUUGACUUUGGGAUAACUUCAGGAAACUGGGGCUAAUACCGGAGAGGAGCUCCUGCUGCAGGGGGGGGGUUGGAAAGUUUCGGCGGUGGGGGGUGGACGCGCGGCUUAUCAGCUUGUUGGGGGGGGGGUGGCUUACCAAGGCUUUGACGGGUAGCCGGCCUGAGAGGGUGACCGGCCACAUUGGGACUGAGAUACGGCCCAGACUCCUACGGGAGGCAGCAGUGGGGAAUAUUGCACAAUGGGCGGAAGCCUGAUGCAGCAACGCCGCGUGCGGGAUGACGGCCUUCGGGUUGUAAACCGCUUUCGCCUGUGACGAAGCGUGAGUGACGGUAAUGGGUAAAGAAGCACCGGCUAACUACGUG